rnacentral:rRNA from 1 species
GAUGAACGCUAGCUACAGGCUUAACACAUGCAAGUCGAGGGGCAUCAGGAAGAAAGCUUGCUUUCUUUGCUGGCGACCGGCGCACGGGUGAGUAACACGUAUCCAACCUGCCCUUUACUCGGGGAUAGCCUUUCGAAAGAAAGAUUAAUACCCGAUAGCAUAAUGAUUCCGCAUGGUUUCAUUAUUAAAGGAUUCCGGUAAAGGAUGGGGAUGCGUUCCAUUAGGUUGUUGGUGAGGUAACGGCCCACCAAGCCUUCGAUGGAUAGGGGUUCUGAGAGGAAGGUCCCCCACAUUGGAACUGAGACACGGUCCAAACUCCUACGGGAGGCAGCAGUGAGGAAUAUUGGUCAAUGGGCGCUAGCCUGAACCAGCCAAGUAGCGUGAAGGAUGAAGGCUCUAUGGGUCAUAAACUUCUUUUAUAUAAGAAUAAAGUGCAGUAUGUAUACUGUUUUGUAUGUAUUAUAUGAAUAAGGAUCGGCUAACUCCGUGCCAGCAGCCGCGGUAAUACGGAGGAUCCGAGCGUUAUCCGGAUUUAUUGGGUUUAAAGGGAGCGUAGGUGGACUGGUAAGUCAGUUGUGAAAGUUUGCGGCUCAACCGUAAAAUUGCAGUUGAUACUGUCAGUCUUGAGUACAGUAGAGGUGGGCGGAAUUCGUGGUGUAGCGGUGAAAUGCUUAGAUAUCACGAAGAACUCCGAUUGCGAAGGCAGCUCACUGGACUGCAACUGACACUGAUGCUCGAAAGUGUGGGUAUCAAACAGGAUUAGAUACCCUGGUAGUCCACACAGUAAACGAUGAAUACUCGCUGUUUGCGAUAUACAGUAAGCGGCCAAGCGAAAGCAUUAAGUAUUCCACCUGGGGAGUACGCCGGCAACGGUGAAACUCAAAGGAAUUGACGGGGGCCCGCACAAGCGGAGGAACAUGUGGUUUAAUUCGAUGAUACGCGAGGAACCUUACCCGGGCUUAAAUUGCAGUGGAAUGAUGUGGAAACAUGUCAGUGAGCAAUCACCGCUGUGAAGGUGCUGCAUGGUUGUCGUCAGCUCGUGCCGUGAGGUGUCGGCUUAAGUGCCAUAACGAGCGCAACCCUUAUCUUUAGUUACUAACAGGUUAUGCUGAGGACUCUAGAGAGACUGCCGUCGUAAGAUGUGAGGAAGGUGGGGAUGACGUCAAAUCAGCACGGCCCUUACGUCCGGGGCUACACACGUGUUACAAUGGGGGGUACAGAAGGCAGCUAGCGGGUGACCGUAUGCUAAUCCCAAAAUCCUCUCUCAGUUCGGAUCGAAGUCUGCAACCCGACUUCGUGAAGCUGGAUUCGCUAGUAAUCGCGCAUCAGCCACGGCGCGGUGAAUACGUUCCCGGGCCUUGUACACACCGCCCGUCAAGCCAUGGGAGCCGGGGGUACCUGAAGUACGUAACCGCAAGGAUCGUCCUAGGGUAAAACUGGAA